rnacentral:rRNA from 1 species
UGCAAGUCGAACGGCAGCAUGAUCUAGCUUGCUAGAUUGAUGGCGAGUGGCGAACGGGUGAGUAAUACAUCGGAACGUGCCCUGUAGUGGGGGAUAACUAGUCGAAAGAUUAGCUAAUACCGCAUACGACCUGAGGGUGAAAGUGGGGGACCGCAAGGCCUCAUGCUAUAGGAGCGGCCGAUGUCUGAUUAGCUAGUUGGUGAGGUAAAGGCUCACCAAGGCGACGAUCAGUAGCUGGUCUGAGAGGACGAUCAGCCACACUGGGACUGAGACACGGCCCAGACUCCUACGGGAGGCAGCAGUGGGGAAUUUUGGACAAUGGGGGCAACCCUGAUCCAGCAAUGCCGCGUGUGUGAAGAAGGCCUUCGGGUUGUAAAGCACUUUUGUCCGGAAAGAAAUCGCACUUACUAAUAUUAGGUGUGGAUGACGGUACCGGAAGAAUAAGGACCGGCUAACUACGUGCCAGCAGCCGCGGUAAUACGUAGGGUCCAAGCGUUAAUCGGAAUUACUGGGCGUAAAGCGUGCGCAGGCGGUUGUGCAAGACCGAUGUGAAAUCCCCGGGCUUAACCUGGGAAUUGCAUUGGUGACUGCACGGCUAGAGUGUGUCAGAGGGGGGUAGAAUUCCACGUGUAGCAGUGAAAUGCGUAGAGAUGUGGAGGAAUACCGAUGGCGAAGGCAGCCCCCUGGGAUAACACUGACGCUCAUGCACGAAAGCGUGGGGAGCAAACAGGAUUAGAUACCCUGGUAGUCCACGCCCUAAACGAUGUCAACUAGUUGUUUGGGGAUUCAUUUCCUUAGUAACGUAGCUAACGCGUGAAGUUGACCGCCUGGGGAGUACGGUCGCAAGAUUAAAACUCAAAGGAAUUGACGGGGACCCGCACAAGCGGUGGAUGAAGGGGGAAUUAAUUCGAUGCAACGCGAAAAACCUUACCUACCCUUGACAUGCCACUAACGAAGCAGAGAUGCAUUAGGUGCUCGAAAGAGAAAGUGGACACAGGUGCUGCAUGGCUGUCGUCAGCUCGUGCCUGAGAAAGUUUGGGGUUAAGUCCCGCAACGAGCGCAACCCUUGUCUCUAGUUGCUACGAAA